AGGGAUCAGGAUGAGGACAUCUUUUGGAGGGACAUUCUUCUGACGAUCCACCUAUCUAUGAUUUUAACUGCUGGCUGGAAUGUUUUAAAGAGAGCUGUUCUGUAACGCUUUUCCUCAGCAGAUGAUGGGGGAAGUCACUGAAAUAAUACAAACUGGAGGAAGAGUAGAACUAUAAGUUGAAAAGAAGAGUUUGCUUCUUCAAGUAUGAACAUGAGAUGCUUAUUCUUCUCAGUUGCUGAAACAGGUAGCUGUGAAGUCAUGGAGUUUCAAGGGGGAUAUCUACAUUGGAGUUUUAGUCUUGGGUCUCAUCAGCAGACAGAUGGUGUUUGAGGUCUUCAACUCAAGAGAACAGACAGAAAAAGAGAGGAGGACCAAGUCUGAAGUCACAGUAACACUUUGAAAUUGGGCAGAGGUAUCAGAGAUGGAAGCAAAGAGAUGCUUAUGUCACAGAAGUCAAUAGAACUGUUUCUGAAAGAAAAUUGGCCAAUGAUUUCAGCAGCUGAUUAAAAAUAGAGUUGCAUUUUACUUCUUGGAAGGAGGUCAUUGUGGGCCUUGAAAAUAGCCACAGUUGUGGAGAUAAUAAUCCAGUUAGUGCAUCAUAAAGAAAAUGCUGUGGGCAUUCACCCUCAGAGUGUUGCACACAUUGAUCAAUAAAGAAGAUAAAGGACAAGUGUAAUCCAAUACAGCUCAAAAACUUGUGCUGGAGAGAAGUAUUAUGGUUUGAAUCUGAAAUGUCACCUACAGGCUCACAUUGGGAACACUUGAUUCUCAGCCUGUGGUGCUAUUUUGAGGGUGGCGGGGGCAUUUAGUGGUAGGGCCUGGCUAGUGAACGUAGCUCAUGGGGUGUGAGGCAGGGAGGUUGAAGGUUGUAUCAGCUUCUGGUGUCAUCAUGCUUUCUGCUUGCUACUCUGCUCCAUGGGAAGGCUUGCUGCUGGAAGCUCCCACGGCCAUGGAGAAGCUGGUUCUACCACCAAGUCUUCCCCACUGUGAUGGAUGGAGAAUCUCAGGAUCCAUGUGCCAAAGUAAAU